rnacentral:rRNA from 1 species
AGAGUUUGAUCCUGGCUCAGGGUGAACGCUCGCAGUGUGGAUAAGGCAUGCAAGUCGUACGUUCCAUAAUAGAUUUUUUCUAUUAUGGAAAGUGGCGAACGGGGCAGUAAUACGUACCUAACUUACCCUUCAGUCGGGCAUAGCUUGUCGAAAGACAAGGUAAUUCCCGAUGACUCUAAAUAGACACAAGUCUUUUUAGAGAAAGCCAAAAGGCGCUGAAGGAAAGGGGUACGGCUCAUUAGCUAGUUGGUGAGGUAAUGGCUCACCAAGGCGAAGAUGAGUAGGGGGCCUGAGAGGGUGUUCCCCGCCAAGGACACUGAGACACGGGUCCUACUCCUACGGGAGGCAGCAGCCGAGAAUCUUCCGCAAUGGGCGAAAGCCUGACGGAGCGACACUGCGUGCCGGAAGAAGUCCUUCGGGAUGUAAACGGCUUUUGUAGGGGAGGAAGCUUGUGUUUAUCACACAAGUUGACAGUACCCUACGAAUAAAGGACGACCAACUUCGUGCCAGCAGUCGCGGUAAGACGAAGGUCCUAAGCGUUACCCGGAUUUAUUGGGCGUAAAGGGCAAACAGGCGGUAAAACAAGUUUUGCCUUAAAGACCUCAAGCCCAACUUGAGGUAAGGGCAAAAUACUGUUUUACUAGAGUCUUCCAGGGGCUAACGGAACAGUCGGUGUAGGGGUGAAAUCCUACGAUAUCGACUGGAACGCCGAAGGCGAAGGCAGUUAGCUAGGGAAGUACUGACGCUGAUUUUGCGAAAGCUAGGGGCGCGAACCGGAUUAGAUACCCGGGUAGUCCUAGCUGUAAACGAUGGGUGCUAACUUUAGGGAGUUUCGACCCUCUCUGAGGUAAAGCUAACGCGUUAAGCACCCCGCCUGGGGAGUACGACCGCAAGGUUGAAACUCAAAGGAAUAGGCGGAAGCCCGAACAAGCAGUGGACCAUGUUGCUUAAUUCGAGAGUGAACGAAGCAUCUUACCCAGGCUUGACAUGAUCGCUUAAAUGCUACCUUCGAAAGAAGGUAGAAGCCAAUUUUUUGGCGAGCGAUCACAGGUGCUGCAUGGCCGUCGUCAGCUCGUGGUGUGAAUUGUAACCUUAAGUGGCACAACGAGCGCAACCCCUAUCCUGUGUUACACGUGUCACAGGAAACUGCCGGGUAUAACCCGGAGGAAGGUGGGGAUGACGUCAGGUCUGCAUGGCCCUUAUGCCUGGGGCUGCAAACAUGGUACAAUGCCAGAGACAAAGGGCAGCGAAGGCGCGAGCCGGAGCAAAUCCCUAAAAAUCUGGCUCAGUUCGGAUUGAAGGCUGAAACUCGCCUUCAUGAAGCUGGAAUUGCUAGUAAUCGCGGGUCAGCAUACCGCGGUGAAUACGUUCUCGGGCUUUGCACUCACUGCCCGUCAAGUCAGGAGAGCUAUUUUCACCUGAAGUCUUGCUAAAGCAGGAUUAGGGUGAGAAUAGUGAUCAGGGCUAAGUCGUAACAAGG